ensembl:snoRNA
ACCCUCUGGUGGUUCCUAAGUGUGAUGAAUAGGUUUUCGCUCCACCAUGCGAGAUGUGCUUCCUUGCCCCAUGUCACUGGCACAGUGCUUUUCUGACG